rnacentral:rRNA from 1 species
AGCAGCCGCGGUAAUUCCAGCUCCAAUAGCGUAUAUUAAAGUUGUUGCAGUUAAAAAGCUCGUAGUUGAAUUUCGGGAUCAAUAUGUUGGUCGUGCCUUGGUACGUACUGGCAUUAUCGAUUCCUACCUUCUGAAGAACCUCGAUGUCAUUAAUUUGGUGUCUUGGGGAAUCAGGACUGUUACUUUGAAAAAAUUAGAGCGUUUAAAGCAGGCUCGCGCUUGAAUACAUUAGCAUGGAAUAAUGAAAUAGGACGUUUGAUUCUAUUUUGUUGGUUUCUAGGAUCGACGUAAUGAUUAAUAGGGAUAGUUGGGGGCAUUAGUAUUCAAUUGUCAGAGGUGAAAUUCUUGGAUUUAUUGAAGACUAACUACUGCGAAAGCAUUUGCCAAGGAUGUUUUCAUUAAUCAAGAACGAAAGUUAGGGGAUCGAAGACGAUCAGAUACCGUCGUAGUCUUAACCAUAAACUAUGCCGACUAGGGAUCGGAUGAUGUUAAUUUUUAAUGACU